CCCUCUCUCACUUACUCCCUCUCUCACUUACUCCCUCUCUCACUUACUCCCUCUCUCACUUACUCCCUCUCUCACUUACUCCCUCUCUCUCCCCCUCCCCUGCUGCUCAAGGGAACUUUAGUUUUUCAUGUGACCUUUAAUUGAGACCAAGCGUGAGUGGGUUGACAUCUUGGGUGGGCAGAGGAAUAACCCUUGAUACAUUCAUGUCAAAUUCUACUUUCUAUUAUAUAUAUAUAUAUAUACACACACACACAAUUGUUGAUGUUUCUCAUGGGUAAAUGUACCGGCACAUGCCUCGGCCUUAUCCAAAUCCGCAAGGAUUAAAAUUCCACUUCACUCUGUGUCAUCCAAAAGCACCUUUAAGAACAAGCGCACAUUAAGCUGCCUGUCCUAUGAAGAAGCAUUCCACAUGUAAUGCUUUUGACAUCUGAUGUGCAUGACUGGGUACCAUUUUGAUUUGCAUGAUUUUUAUUUUCUUUCUGUAGUAAUAUGGAAAGGCAAAAAAAUUGAUUGAGGCAUCAAUUUACCAGCAAUUUUGUUUCCUUGCUGUUUGGACCUAUUCACCUUUGACCCAUCACUGUCAGGAUGCGUUUCCUCAUCUCGACUUCUUAGACCUUGAUCUGGGUUCCAUUGGAUUGGAUGUGGACUCUGUCCUGCUGGGGCUACCUUGGGAUGGAGAGGAAGAGGGGGAAAGUGAUGUGAUGCUUGAAGACUGCAGAGAAGGACAUCCUGAACAUGUACCUGCGUAUCAGAUGGAAAGCAUUUCAUGUCCAUCUUCCCCUUCAUCACCUUCUCACUCCUUGGAAGCUUCAAUUACCGAUGAGCUCCUCAAACCCACACCCACUUGCCUGCUUCAGCGUCUGCUCCAAUCCCCGGCGUCCCCAAAUUGCCUCCGAACAGCACCUCUCCCACAGUCCCGUAACCGUGGAAACCGGCGCAAGGGGACAACACGUCGCUGUCGAGCCUCUUCGGCACGAAAGCCUUUGACAGCUCAUCGCGUCCAAGAUGAAGACGACAAUGACUCUGACAAUGCGGAUGUUGGACAACAGUUCGACAGUCUUUCUCCUUGCCUUGUUCGACCGGCUUUACUCUCACCCGUACAACGCCUUCGCUACUUCCAUGGUUACUGCCGUUCCCUCUCACCCCUGGACUCUGCCAGCUGUGGUGUCCAAGUCUCACCACGACGUCCGGGCCCGAUUUUGGGACAGCUUUUGUGCUGCGGCGUCGCUCUGCUCGACAAGGGGAGGCCGUAUAAGUUGCCAGCAAGCCCUGUUUCCACGGAAACUCAAAGCUGCCAUGCAGUGAGUGACCGAAUGAUGGAAUUUGGGGGAGGGUUUAUGGAUUGCGAGGAUGAAGAGGAUGAUCAUCGCUGUGGAGAAAAAGACCUUUGGUUUUGUUCUCGAGGAUUCCACGACGAAGAAGAAGAGGAAAAGUAUCGCAGUUGUUGGCUGGAGAGUGAAAAACACUUUAACAAAGCAGUUAAUGCUUUUCAAAUGCUUAACGGUGGUGGUAAGUGUAUAUUUGGAGCCAAGGCUGGCAAGAGCACAGAGAAGUCGUUGAAUGAAAUGGACCUGGCAUGUUGCUGCUUGGGUUCAAACCUCAGUACUGGACCAGUUUGUGAGACUGUGGUGAAUAAGAAGAAGAAUAAGAAGAAGAGCAAGUCAAACAGACAAGGUGACUUCAAGAAUUUAUCCCUCAGCGAUAGCAUACCUGCAAACAGGCUGUUUCAAUGUGGUGCCGUGAUGGGAAGAAAUGAGCCUCUGGAGAGGUUUCUACAAGUCGAGCUUCCAACAACCGCAGGGUUGACUCCCCCGACAACACCUCCACACAGACCCGAAGACCUUGCUUUCCCUUUGCCUGUGGAACGGGCACUCCAUCAGUGCAGACCUCGCUUUGGAGAUCACAAUUACUGCCAAAGGGUCGUGACCCACACUGAGGGGCAGCAGGAUGAUGCUUCCGGCAAUAAGCGGCGGGCUAUGUCCGGGUCACAUAGCUCACACCAUGCCACCCGUCCUGCCUAGAGAACGAUUCAUAGGGUUGGGGUUCUUGCAUUGUCUACCGCUUACUGGAUUUUGGUGCUGUUUUAAAUGGCCACUUCAUUUUUUUAAUUUUAAAUAUUCUGAUUCAGACUGUCUCAUUGUGUUUGUUUAUCUCAAGGUAUCCGUCCGGGUAUGUCAUCAUGCAUCUCUGUAAUGCCUUACUGUGGUCCUAAGCUUUCUCCUAUUCUUGCUUCUCUCCUUCUCUUUGUGUCGAUACCACUCGGGUUGUGAAAUUGAUCUGCACCCUUAUUUAGUGAUCGGCUUGGAGUUCCACGUGGAGGUCAUAUCACUGAUUGUCGAUGUAUCGAGUUGUUUAUCCUUAUCCAAUCGUGGAUUUAGAGUCAGGAUGUUCUGAAUGUUGAGUGGUUAGAUUUGUUACUUGCAAAUGUAACCACACCCUGCUUUCCACAAAUUAUGACACGAUGUUCUAAAAUAUAUUAUAAAGAUGUUUGAAUGUACCGUAUUGCCCUAAAGUUGUCUUAGGCACUUACCUGAUCGACCCAGAUUCCAAUUGCUCUUUGUUUUUAAUUCUGCUUUUGUUAGAUUUUUAUUAUUCUUUUUAAAUCAAUGGAAUCCAUUGCUGCAUCUGAUGCUGGAAACCUGUCUUUCACAAACCAUGUGCAAAAUUCUUAGCUUUUCAUUACAUGCUCCAAAUAUAUUGAAAAAGAAAAGUCCCAAAGAUUUUUUUUAAUGCCUCUGCAACUAAUAGCCAUAAUAAUCAUGUUUACGUAUUGUCCGUCCGUUUAUCAAGUUUUUUUUUUUGUUUGUUUGUUUUUUUUGUUACCACGAUAACUUGUGAACCUUCUGAAGGAAUUUCAACCAAACUUGGCAAAAGUAUGGACUGCAUGACAAAAAUGAACCGAUUUGAUUUUGGUUUCGGCAGGUCAAAAGUCAAAGAUCAUGUGACCUUUAAUUGAAAAUCUUUGUUACUGCAAUAACGUGUGAGCCACUGAAAGGAUGUCAACCGAACUUGGCUAAAGUAUGGACUGUAAUACAAAGAUGAAUUUAUUUGAUUUUGGGUUCAAAGGGCCUACGAUCAUGUGCCCUUUGAAAAUCAUUUUGCAGACAACUCGAGUUAGAAGUAUCUCAUGUUUAGAUAAGCUCUUCCACUUAUCUCUCUUUUUCUCUCUCGUGCCCCCUCGGUUAACCUUCACCUUCUCAUGUGACCUUAAAUUGAGAAUAACUGAAACAGUGGGUUGAUAUAUAAUGUGGGCAGAGACAUAUCCAUCGACACAUUCGCCCACGCUGUUUUUGUUUGCUUUCUCUCACCUUCACCCUAUGCUUUUCAUCAUGAUUUUUUUUUCUUCCAAGGGUUUACUUGAAAUAUAGAAACAUUUUCUGAGCAACAGUUCAAUUAAAUCUCACCUCUUCCACAAUUCGUUUCCUACAUUAGAGUUGUCAGCGGAAGUCGUUUCUUAGGAUUACAACAUUGUUUGCCAUGGUGGUUAUAGACCAAGAUGAGUCCUCGUAAGGAGAAAUGGUUAAAAAAAAAAACCCAUGGGAGACAGGCAUCACCACAUCGCCCUCAUUAAUAAAAUGUCUACAAUUGGAAUCGAGACCACCCAACUCAUGAGUGUCCAGCUGCCACCUUGUAUCCAUAGGAUGCAGCUGAUAUCCCUUCUCUAAAAAGGAUAACCAUAAGUUAGUCUUGUUGAAUAAUUUAGUAUUGUUUUAGCAGUGCUGAGAUAUUAGAUGAUCCUUCAUCCUCAGAAAAGUUCAUGAGCAGCACCUGGUUGCUGUUUGCUUCAUUCCUGGGAGCAUGGCAAGCACUAGAGUGACAGUUUAUAGUUUGGUCACAAAUCAAACCUCGACUAGACAGCUCAUAGGUAAGUACAUAACCUCUGAAUUACCCUUUAGCUCUGUCCUUGGAUAAUGAAAUUAUGUCUCCUGAUAUUUGGCAGAGGGAAGCAUGACAAUAAUUUCUCACCUUGACUUAUCUUUGGAUAAUCUUAUCUUUGGAUAAUGCCUGGUGUUGGCGUAGUGGUUAGGGCAGCGGCUUGGGACCCAAAAAGUCCUGAGUUCAAGCCCCGUUGGGCCACUGAAUGUAUAUAUG
ensembl:lincRNA